rnacentral:misc_RNA from 1 species
GAUGAAGAACGUAGCGAAAUGCGAUAAGUAAUGUGAAUUGCAGAAUUCAGUGAAUCAUCGAAUCUUUGAACGCACAUUGCGCCCGCCAGUAUUCUGGCGGGCAUGCCUGUCUGAGCGUCAUUUCAACCCUCAUGCCCCUAGGGCGUGGUGUUGGGGAUCGGCCAAAGCCCGCGAGGGACGGCCGGCCCCUAAAUCUAGUGGCGGACCCGUCGUGGCCUCCUCUGCGAAGUAGUGAUAUUCCCCUCGGAGAGCGACGAGCCCCUGCCGUUAAACCCCCAACUUUCCAAGGUUGACCUCAGAUCAGGUAGGAAUACCCGCUGAACUUAAGCAUAUCAAUAAGCGGAGGA